rnacentral:rRNA from 1 species
UACGGGGGGGGCAAGCGUUGUUCGGAAUUACUGGGCGUAAAGGGCUCGUAGGCGGCCAUCUAAGUCGGACGUGAAAUCCCUCGGCUUAACCUGGGAACUGCGCUUGUAACUGGCAAGCUAGAGUGUGGCAGAGGGGGGUGGAAUUCCACGUGUAGCAGUGAAAUGCGUAGAGAUGUGGAGGAACACCGAUGGCGAAGGCAGCCCCCUGGGCUAACACUGGACGCUCAUGCACGAAAGCGUGGGGAGCAAAC